rnacentral:rRNA from 1 species
GAUGAACGCUGGCGGCGUGCCUAAUACAUGCAAGUCGAGCGAACAGACGAGGAGCUUGCUCCUCUGACGUUAGCGGCGGACGGGUGAGUAACACGUGGAUAACCUACCUAUAAGACUGGGAUAACUUCGGGAAACCGGAGCUAAUACCGGAUAAUAUAUUGAACCGCAUGGUUCAAUAGUGAAAGACGGUUUUGCUGUCACUUAUAGAUGGAUCCGCGCCGCAUUAGCUAGUUGGUAAGGUAACGGCUUACCAAGGCAACGAUGCGUAGCCGACCUGAUAGGGUGAUCGGCCACACUGGAACUGAGACACGGUCCAGACUCCUACGGGAGGCAGCAGUAGGGAAUCUUCCGCAAUGGGCGAAAGCCUGACGGAGCAGCGCCGCGUGUGUGAUGAAGGUCUUCGGAUCGUAAAACUCUGUUAUUAGGGAAGAACAAAUGUGUAAGUAACUAUGCACGUCUUGACGGUACCUAAUCAGAAAGCCACGGCUAACUACGUG